rnacentral:rRNA from 1 species
GGGUCAUUAGGUUGGUCGUGCCACCGGUACGUACUGGUCUCACUGAUUCCUCCUUCCUGAAGAACCGUAAUGCCAUUAAUUUGGUGUUGCGGGGAAGCAGGACUGUUACUUUGAAAAAAUUAGAGUGUUUAAAGCAAGCUAACGCUUGAAUACAUUAGCAGGGAAUAAUGAAAUAGGACGAUCGAUCCUAUUUUGUUGGUUUCUAGGAUUGACGUA